CCUACGGGAGGCAGCAGUGAGGAAUAUUGGUCAAUGGGCGAGAGCCUGAACCAGCCAAGUCGCGUGAAGGAUGAAUGCCCUACGGGUUGUAAACUUCUUUUAUAUGGGAAUAAAGUGAGGCACGUGUUCCUUUUUGUAUGUACCAUAUGAAUAAGCAUCGGCUAACUCCGUGCCAGCAGCCGCGGUAAUACGGAGGAUCCGAGCGUUAUCCGGAUUUAUUGGGUUUAAAGGGUGCGUAGAUGGUUAAUUAAGUCAGUUGUGAAAGUUUGCGGCUCAACCAUAAAAUUGCAGUUGAUACUGGAUGUCUUGAGUAUAUUUGAGGUAGGCGGAAUUCGUGGUGUAGCGGUGAAAUGCUUAGAUAUCACGAAGAACCCCGAUUGCGAAGGCAGCUUACUAAACUGUGACUGACAUUGAUGCUCGAAAGUGUGGGGAUCAAACAGGAUUAGAUACCCGAGUAGUC
rnacentral:rRNA from 1 species